AAGAAAAAGUUUUAAUUGUUUUUAUCAUUAUAUCUAAUAAUAUUUAUAAUAUUGUAAGCUAUAGAGGAUAGUACUGUAAUUUAAAACUUGUAUAAUUUUUGUCAUUGCUGAGAAGUCUUUACAUAAACAUCUCAUUGCUAGGUCCACCAAAUGUUGAGAAGUCUUUACAUAAAAAUCAAAUGUCUACAUUACUGAUUAAUUAAAACUUGUAUAAUUUAUGUCAUUGCUGAGAAGUCUUUACAUAAAAAUCCCGUUGCUAGGUCCACCAAAUGUCCACAUUACUGAUUAAUUGCUUCUUCUGCGAGCCUCCGAGCAGGUUCGUCUAGGCUACAUCCUUGAAUUCCACAACUCUCACCAAACUCACGACAUCAGCCUUAUCUAACUUUAAUGACAGCUUAAUUCUCUGUUCGGUAGGAAAGAAAAAAAAUUGAGUGGAAGGGAGAGAAGAAGGGAUGGAUGAGACAUUCCUAGGGAAAAGAUUGUUUAAUUUUUUCUUUUUGUUCGGUUAAAGAAUAAACUUAUAAUUUAAUAUGUUCGUUAGGAGAGAAGGAAAGGAAAAGUUUUAAUUGUUUUUACCAUUAUAUCAAAUAAUAUUUAUAAUAUUCUAAUCUAAAGAGGAUAGUAUUGUAAUUUAAAAUUUCUAAAAUAGUCCACUUGUCUUCUCUCUUUUCUUCUGCGCAUUUUUGGGCGGAUGAAAAUUUGUAAAGGAGGAAUGAUAUAUCAUCCUUCCCAUUCUCUUUUCUUUCCUUAUAUCAUCUCAACUGAAUAAAAAAAAAAUAAAAUAAAAUAAAAAAAUAAAAAAAAAAAUUGUUUUUUCCGUCCUAUUUUCUCUCUACACCUCUCCCUUCCUUGCUACCAAACACAGCAUAAAAGAAUAUGAUAUUGUAAAGAGUGAAACAAAGAGUCAAAUCAAAAGGCACGCCGGUAAUUGUUCCACCUUUUCCAUGGAUAUAACAUCUUUAAAUUUUGAAAAGUUCUUACAAUUUUAUUAAUAUUAAAAAACUAUAAAUAAAUAAAUAAAAAUUAAAUUAAUCUAUGUAACCAUUAUAUAACCUCAAUUUGACACCCAACUACUAAGUCCAAGUUCAGCCCACAUUUUCACCAAACUUCCAUUGUUACUUCACUGGCCCCCUGAAUAAAUGGUUUGAACCCAACAUUUUUAACAGUUGACUAUAAGCCCAAAAAAUUAAAAUUAAAAUUAAAAAUAAUACGGUAACCUCCAGGUGCGAACGCGUCAAAGAAUUCAAACAAUUCACUCUCUCUAUUCUCCUCUUCUUUGAAUAUACAUAUAUAUAUUCUCUGCUCAUUCAUUUCCACAAACAGUUUCAGAGCAAUCCGGUUUCAAUUCAACCUGAUUCCCGUGAAACUUAUACCCAGUUCAAAUGGGUUCUUCUUCUAAUUAUGUUUUGAUUUCUGGGUACUUGGUUUUUCUGAUAUUGAAUUGGGGUUCACAGAGCUGUGAUGGGUUUGGUACGUUCGACUUCACUAUCCACCACAGGUACUCCGACCCGGUUAAGGGGAUUCUGGACCUCGAUGGCUUGCCGGAGAUGGGUAGUCGCCAGUACUAUGCUGCUAUGGCCCACCGUGAUCGCUUCAUCCGGGGACGUGGCCUCGCCGACACCGUCAAUUCCACCCAUCUCACUUUCAUGGACGGCAACGAGACUUAUCGGCUCAGUUCGCUGGGAUUUUUGCACUAUGCCAAUGUUUCUGUGGGGACACCAGCUUUAUCUUUCCUUGUGGCGCUUGACACUGGUAGCGACCUGUUCUGGUUACCAUGCAAUUGCACCAGUUGUGUGCGUGGCUUAAAGACACGGGCUGGAGAUGUAGUAGACCUUAGUAUUUACAGCCCUAAUAACUCAUCGACAAGCACGAGGAUUUCCUGCAACAGUACAUUGUGUCCUAUUAAAAAAAGUCGAUGCUCUGCGUCACGCAACACUUGUACCUAUCGAGUUGUGUAUCUUUCCAAUGGUACUUCCUCUAAUGGUAUAUUGGUAGAGGAUGUGUUGCACUUAACUACAGAAGAUAGUCAUUUAAAAGCUGUUGAGCCACGAGUUACGUUUGGCUGCGGUAUGAUUCAAACUGGUUCAUUCUUGGAUGGUGCAGCUCCCAAUGGUCUGUUUGGGCUUGGUAUGGAAAAUAUAUCUGUUCCUAGCACUUUAGCGAGUGAUGGGCUUGUUGCGAAUUCCUUUUCCAUGUGUUUUGGACAAGAUGGAAUUGGUAGAAUCAGUUUUGGAGAUAAAGGUAGCUCAGACCAAGCAGAAACACCAUUCAAUCUGGGUGAAUUACAUCCAACUUACAAUAUCAGCGUGACACAAAUAAUUAUGGAGAAUAAAACCACUAAUCUUAGUUUCGAUGCAAUAUUUGAUUCUGGUACCUCAUUCACAUACUUAAACAACCCAGCUUAUGCAGAGAUUUCUGAGAGUUUCAAUUCCUAUAUCCGAGACAAACGGGACACAUCUAAUUCCAGUCUUCCUUUUGAAUAUUGUUAUGAAUUAAGUGAAAAUCAAACCACCAUUGAAAUUCCCAAUUUGAAUUUAACGAUGAAAGGGGGAAGUCAAUUUUAUGUUUCUGAUCCAAAGUUAUAGUUUCAAUUUCUCAGAGUGGACCAUAUUUAUAUUGUUUGGGCCUUCUCCAGAGUGGGGAUAUAAAUAUCAUUGGACAAAACUUCAUGGCAGGCUACCGUAUCGUUUUUGAUCGUGAGAAGAUGGUCUUGGGCUGGAAGGAAUCUGACUGUUAUGAUUCUAAAAACUCCAACACUCUACCAAUCGACCCAUGAAACUCCACUGCAGUUCCUCCUACCAGUACUUCUCCCGGUGCUACUGUUGUACCAUAAGCGACAUCGAAUCCUGGUAAUGGUUCCCCAAAUUGCAGUCCUUCAUAGUAUUGUAUUUUAUUGUCAUUUGUUUGAGAUGUAAUACACAACAGCUUGGCUUCCCUUUUUUCAGCAUUAACACAAACCUUUGGUUGUGUAUAUAUGGUUUUGAUCAUAUCUUUGUAUAACAAUAGACAGAUCAUAUAUAUACCAAUUUUAUUGUAUGGAUUUAAUUAUUAAA